AUUGAACGCUGGCGGCAUGCCUAACACAUGCAAGUCGAACGGCAGCACAGCAGUAGCAAUACUGUGGGUGGCGAGUGGCGGACGGGUGAGGAAUACGUCGGAAUCUGCCCAGUCGUGGGGGAUAACUAGCCGAAAGGUUAGCUAAUACCGCAUACGACCGAGAGGUGAAAGCGGGGGACCGCAAGGCCUCGCGCGAUUGGAUGAGCCGACGUCGGAUUAGCUAGUUGGCGGGGUAAAGGCCCACCAAGGCGACGAUCCGUAGCUGGUCUGAGAGGAUGAUCAGCCACACUGGAACUGAGACACGGUCCAGACUCCUACGGGAGGCAGCAGUGGGGAAUAUUGGACAAUGGGCGCAAGCCUGAUCCAGCAAUGCCGCGUGUGUGAAGAAGGCCUCGGUUGUAAGACUCUUCGGCAGGAACGAAACGGACC
rnacentral:rRNA from 1 species